rnacentral:rRNA from 1 species
UACGUAGGGGGCAAGCGUUGUCCGGAAUCAUUGGGCGUAAAGAGCGUGUAGGCGGUUCGGUAAGUCCGCUGUGAAAGUCCAGGGCUCAACCCUGGAAUGCCGGUGGAUACUGCCGGGCUAGAGUCCGGAAGAGGCGAGUGGAAUUCCUGGUGUAGCGGUGAAAUGCGCAGAUAUCAGGAGGAACACCGAUGGCGAAGGCAGCUCGCUGGGACGGUACUGACGCUGAGGUGCGAAAGCGUGGGGAGCAAACAGG